rnacentral:rRNA from 1 species
GACAGAGGUGCCGAGCGUUAGGCGGAAUCACUGGGCUUAAAGCGUGUGUAGGCGGGUCGUUAAGUGCCUUGUGAAAUCCCACAGCUCACCUGUGGAACUGCUCGGCAUACUGGCGAUCUUGAGCCACUUAGGGGCAACCGGAACAAACGGUGGAGCGGUGAAAUGCGUAGAGAUCGGGAGGAACACCAGAGGCGAAAGCGGCUUUCUGGGCUGUAACUGACGCUGAGGCGCGAAGGCUAGGGGAGCAAACAGG